GACGAGGGGUCCAAGCGUUGUUCGGAAUCAUUGGGCGUAAAGCGGGUGUAGGUGGCUCUAUAAGUCAGGAGUGAAAGCCCUGAGCUUAACUUGGGAAGUGCUUUUGAUACUGUAGAGCUUGAAUGUGGGAGAGGAUCGUGGAAUUCCAGGUGUAGUGGUGAAAUGCGUAGAGAUCCGGAGGAAGACCGGUGGCGAAGGCGGUCUGCUGGGCAGUUUCUGACACUGAUGCGCGACAGCGUGGGGAGCAAACAGG
rnacentral:rRNA from 1 species